rnacentral:lncRNA from 1 species
GAAAUAGCCACAUUAUCUCCAUGAAACAAAUAGAGUUUUUGUAAUUAGGUGAAACUUGCCUAAAGUUAGUCAUUUUGUUUUUGUGUGUUAAUGACUUAUUUAUUAUCGAUACAUCUUGAUGAGAAACAUGCAGAGUUUAAAGAUGGAAAAUGAAACAUGUUAGUACCAUUUAUCUGACAACAAAAAUGCCAAAUGAGAAAAUAAUCGUGGUUGUGGAAUUUUCAGUGUAUUGACUCAGGCUUACCACUACAGAGUAGAAGAACAAAGAAGGGUGUCUUUGAUAUCCAGUGGCUAUAGGUCAAAAGUUGAUUCCUUUUCAGUAUUAUUUCUUUGCCUUUGGAGACAUUAAUUAACUUUUUUGAAACUCAAUUUCCACAAGUGAAAAAUACAUAUGUUAUGAUAAUCUCAAAAUAGUUUUAUAAAGUUUCCGAAUUUAUGACAUGUUAUCUUUUCAGUAAAUGUUGUCCUCCCUUCUCCUCCUCCUCACCGUAGAGACGUAAGUUGUUUUCAAGUUAUAAUCGGAUAUUUACAUGUAUUUAUUAGUACAUUAGUGUAUUGUAUAUAUCUGCAUGUCAAAUGCAAAAUACAUAGGAUGGAAAAAUAGGAACAAAGAAGUAUUUGCCAUACAUGUUUUAAAAAGGUUUUCUAGUACCUAUUUUUUUUCUCAUGGAUAGAGAUGCUAACACAUCGAUAACUUCUACUUCAUACUUGUUAUCUGCCAAGCAUUUGUUUCAUGCACGACAGUGAACAAUGUAAAUAUUCUUUGCUCUUGUGAAGCAUAUAUUUUAGUAAAGAAGAGAGAAUGAGACAGUUAGUCAGUAAACAGAAUUAGAGGGGUUAAUUUUUUUUCGAAGAGGGUGCAUUUAAGCUAAUGCAAAGUUCCUAAGACAAGAAUGAGCUUGGAAUAUGCAAGAAAUAGAAAGAAGGGCCUGUCGGUGGGGUGCAUUAGCAAGGUGUGGUAACAAGCUACUAAGAGUCUUUAGUAAUCUCUGCCUUGGGUAGUCUGUUCUUUCAUUGUACCAGGAUUGAUUUGCGUGAUCAAUACAAUAUGGCAGAAUUGAUGGUCUGUUACUUCUGAGAUGGAGGCUAUAAAAGAAAUGGUAGCUUCUCUCAUUGUUGCUGUUUUUUCUUACUCUUUGAUCACUUCCUCUGGGAGAAAUCAUGUUGGGAGCAGCCCAGUGGGGAGGUUUACAAGGAGAAAAACUGAAAUCUCUGCCAACAACCCUGUGUGUGAGCUUAGAACAAAUCCCCCAGUCUCAAACAAGUCUUCAGAGGUUGCUACCCUAGCCAACAGCAAGUUCAUUAACCAUCCUGAGACGGAAAUGCUUAGCUAAAUUUCUUCCAGAUUUCUGACCCUCAAAAAAAAUGGAGCAAUAAAUGUUUAUUGUUGUAAACACAAAUUUUUGAGGUAGCAUGUUUACAGAAAUAGAUAAUGAACACAAAACAGAGAGGUUAGAAAUGAAAUGACAUGAAGUAGGACUUCAUAGACAAUAGUAGGAUUUGAAUGCUGUUUAAAUUAAUGGGUAGUAAUCUGAAAUUAUGAAGGGUCCAUGUAACAUUAUUUGACUUUGUUUUAAAUAAAAAUGAAUCAAUUAUGGAGUACACAGUGUUUGAAGGGGCAUAGAAUGAAUCAGGAUGUCAAGCUAAAAGGAGUUGUCCAGGUAGAUAUGAGACAUUGAUUAGAGUAGAACAGCCAAAAUGGAAGCAAGUUGAGAGUUCUGCGAUGCAAUGGAAGACAGAACUGGCCAUAAAUAUGGGUAUCCUUCAUAUACAUGAUUGCUUGCAAUCAACAAGAAAAAUACAAGGCAAGUAAAUAAUGAAUUUACUAAUGGCAAAAAAAAUGUGUUUUAAAGAUGCUCAAUUUCAUUAGUAUUGGCAAAAACAUUAAUAAUAAUGGCAUAUUUUUCAUCCUGAGAAAUUAAAAAGACUAAUAAAACUCUUCAUUGGCAAGACUGGAAAAUUAUUCACUUUCAUUUAUUGUAGAUAAGACACUAAAUUGAUAUAGAGUCUCUAAAGCCAAUCUGCAAAGUCCAUACGCUUUCUUCUAGGGAGUGAAUUUCACGGAAUUUUUCCCAAGGAAAUGUUUGCAAUAUUAAUGAACACUCAUUGUUCAUUGUAAGACCAUUUAUAAUAGUGGAUACUUGGAAGCACCUCAUAGGCUCAUCAUAUCGUAUAUAAUUAAUCUUGCUUAUGGCAUAAUAUAUAAAAUACAUGUUCCAAGAGGGUAUGUUUAUCAUUAAUCUAUAUAUAUAAGUGUAAAACUAUAUAUGUCCAUGUUAUAUUUCAUGGUAUGUGUACGUGUGUAUGUAAAAAGGCAGUAUUUACCAAAAAAAGGACAGUAGCUUGAAGCCAGGAAUUUGAGACCAGCCUGAGCAACAAAGCAAGACACAGUCUCUACAAAAAAUUUAAAAACUUAGUUGGGUGUGGUGGCAUGCUUCUGUAGUCCCAGCUACUCAGGAGGCUGAACUGGGAAGAUCACCUGAGCCCAGGUGUUCCAGGCUGCAGCGAGCUGUGUUUGCACCUCUGCACUCCAGCCUGUGCAACAGAAUGAGAGACAUGUCUCAAAAGCAAAAAAAAAAAAAAAGGAACAGCCAAAUAUGAUUAUUUCUGGGCAAUAUAUUUAAAUAUGAUGUUUCUUUCUUUAGAUUUUUCUUUAUUUAGAGAUUCUUUGUGCCAACAUUAUUUUUAAAUAUAAAAAUAAUCCAAAACUGUUGACAAAAAUGUAAAAUAUAAAAAAGCUAAAACAUUACCUAUAUUAUGACUUUCUAUUAUAAGAAAUAUUACAAAGUUAAUUUCAUUACAUUUGUCAUUUUCUCCAAAUAUUUUCUUUAUAGUAAUAAUUUUAGAUCCUUUGUAGUCUUUAUGCUUACAUCUUUAGGUCUUUAGAAAACAUUAUUUUUAUCUAUUGGUAUUAAUUAGAACAGAAGAAAAAAUCAUGAGAAUGAUGGGAAAAAGUAAAACUACACUGAUCAUUAAUAAAAAAAAAUCAGGACAUGUAGGAAAGAAAAAAGAAUAAAGAUAACCGCUACAGAUUUAGUAGAGUUAUCAGUUUCUAUGGUUUUCAAAUAAACCAUAGGCUAGUCACAAAUGUUUUAAAAAUUGUUAACAUGAUAUUUUUGUUCUGAGUCAAUCUUUGAAAAACAGUUUAGUUGUAUAAAAACUAUUUCUCAAAAAUUAUUCUCCCACUGAAUUUUAGUUUAUUCAAAGUAUGAGGUACUUGUGAUAAGAAAUAUCUUAUCCAUUAAAAUACUGCUUUAUAUUUGCCUUUUUAGAGAGAGACCAAAGAUCAAAUCUAAAAUCAGUAAGAAAUUUCUGCUUUUCAUAUUUAUUUGAUACCAGUCCAUCUCGUUUAGGGUUUAUUGGAGUUCUUAAAACGUCUGGUAAUAACAGCCAUAAUAAUAGUGUGUUACUUAUGUAAUUAUUAAUCCUGUUUACAUUUCACAUGUAUUAUUUUAUUUUAUCAUUAUCACAACAUGGAGUAGCUUUGAUUAAUGGUUUUCACUUGCAAAAUAAGACAACUGAAGCUCAGAAAGAUUACAUGACCUGUCCAGCACUAUAGAUCUAGUAAAUGGUGGUGCAAAAAAAUAAUACCAGAGCCCACAAUGAAAUCAUUUCCUCAAAAACUAUAUCUGAUGUUUUUUUCCAUGCAAGGUUAAUAGACAUAGUCACACAGCUUCCAAAAUGUUUCCUUUGGUUUCACUAUUGAAUAGGGACAGGUCAGUUUUUUCUGAAAAGUGUCAUUCCACCCCCGUUUCCCAGCCUGUAUUUUUCCCUCUACAUAUUAACUAUCUUAGUUGCCAAAUUUCCUACUUAAUUUUUGAUUUAAAUAUAAUUGUGAUCUUAAUUAUAUUAAAAAUAACUUCUAAAAACUUUCAACAUAUUUUAUUUACUGCACGUUAGCAUUAAGGGAAGACUCUAAUCCUAAAGGGGCUUACUGUGGUAACUCAGGACACAAACUAUUUUAUAGAAAAUGUUGGACAGUAAGAAAGAGCAACUGGUAAUCAAAUGCAUUUGUUAUUGACUUGAUUCUUAUCUGUUUGACACUACCCAGUGGAUAUGAGCUGACUUUGCUUCAACCACGGUGUCACUGCCAAUACUUAAUUUAUAUCUAGUGGGAGAAGAAUUAUAUAUUUUUCUUGUUUAAUCCUGUACCCUUCAGAAGCUUAUUUAUAAAGUACCAGUUGGAUAUUAUCUAGUUUUGUUCUACAAUUUAUUAAUAUGUAUUUGAAUAUUCUUGGUGUACGUUGUAGGGAUUAGAGUACCAAAAUUUCACACGAUAAGCAGGUAUAUAUUUCCUCUAAAGUAAAAGCAGCUGCAAUAUAUAACUAAACAUGUAAUUUAAUUCUUUAAAUCCUGUACUUUAAUUUUGUUUAUAGUUUUUGUGUGUAUUAUGUCACCAAAGUCUUUACAUCUGAAAAACCAAAUUGUUCAACCCAACCAUAACUAAAUAUUUGAAAAAUGUAAUUUGACUCAUAAAGACUUUUUUUUUUAAUAAACACUUAUUAAAAUGUACUGUGUGCCAGGCUUUAAGUCUCACCCAAGAAUUCUGCAGAGUGAGGCCAGAUUUUCAUACAACUGGAUUUCAUUCACGGUUUAAUUUCUCUUGUAAAAGUUGAAAAAUAGCAAUCUAGAAUACAUUUGGCCAUUGACGGCACUUUCAAUUUUGAAGCUGUACUGAAGCUGUCACACUACCAUCCAAAUUACUGUCAAAAAUGAGUAUGCUAAUUGAAAAGCUCUGGCUAUGAAGUUAAGUGUUGCAGUUUUAUCAAGCAUAGAUAAGAACACUAUAUAAAACAUGGAUUUUAAGGUGAAUUGAAUUUAUCAAAUUGUAAGGGCAGGCUAUAAUUUGAAAAUCCUACAUUAGAUGGAUUUUUCAAAUUCUAAUUUGUUGUGAAUAAUAAUGUUCAGCAGAAGAGAAGAGCUGUAUUUUCUUGCAUUCCUUGGUUUAGGAUUUUUAGAAUAAGGACAUUUCUACCAGGAUUCAAAAUUCCUUACUAGCAUAGCUCAUGAAUCUCCUCCCUACUUAUUGUAUUGGAAAAACUAUCCAGCACACAAAAUGUUAGCAUUUCAGGAAUUUGUAAUCAACUGAUAAAUCAUAAGUAUUUGUUUAUAAGUCAGAUCAUACAUCUAAAAACUUAUAGGGUAAAUCAACCCCACUAUUUGCUAACUCUCGGGUAUCACCAUAGGCUGUUCUGUGGGCAGGAGUCCAUAUUUUCAUUGACUACAGUUAUGAUAAUGGUUUCUAGUUUUACACAAAUAUUUUUCCUUCUGAUGUCUAACUAAUUGUGAAAAUAGCAUAACAUAUCACAUUUGUGAAAGUUAUUUAGCUGCUGGGGUCACUGCUACUGUGAAAAGAUCAGUCAUAAUUUGUGCAGUGGUUGGAAUAUACUUUUAGAUGUCACUGGGGAAAAAAAUCUUGGCUUUAAAAUGCCUUUGUAAAGAUAAGCCAGUUGUAAGGUGUGAUUCCAUUGUUAAGAUUAAUAAUAUGAAUGACCAGUUAAAUAUGGGUCUGUACUGACUGGAAACUCUUGAAAAAUGAACUUCAGAUAUUUGAAUUGCAUUGUUUUAUAUGCACAUCUUAUAUAUUUUAAAUAUAAAAGGUAGCUAAAUCCAUGAAUUAGCUUUCACAGGAUAUGAUUAUCAACAUCUCAUGUACCCCACAAAUAUAUACACAUACUAUGUACCCACCAAAAUCAAAAAUAAAAAAGUAAACUUUUUUGCUUCAUGUGGCAAAUUGCAAUAGCUCUUUUUU